ensembl:lncRNA
CGUCACAAUUAAAGAGCACUACAAACAGCACAACACGUCAAAAGCCGGUAAUCUGAUGGUAAAUUAUGAAGCACGGUUAAAUGAAAGGGGAGCAUUAGCAGCGGCUGUCAGCCCGCUCGGAUUGAUAGACGGCACCGGUCGCAGCAGACGGGGUGAGGCAUUGAGUCUGGAGCCGUGUGUGUGUAGACAUGUAUUAAAACUAUUAUCAGAGACGUAAAUCGCUUCAUGAGGUGAGCUUGCGUGACGGUUCUGCAUGUCGAACAAUUUGUGUAAGAAGAAGGCGGGUGAAGUGAUUGUAAUGGGGGGCCGGUCCUCUGUCCAGGAAUAGAAACAUGUACGUAUAUUUAUGUAGAGAUACGGGCUCGCGGUUAAAGGCGCUCAAGCAAAAACACUUGGCUGAAUUCCUUUGGAAUAUAUCAGGAACAAGACCAAUGACAGAUAAUAAUAAAGAUAAUUUGGGUGACAUGGAAGCUAAAACGGGAAAUACAUAUUCUGAAAGUAUCACACUGGUUAUAAACACAGUAGCUUCAAGAGAGAAAUAUGAAUUAUUUAUCAGCAUUUUAUGGCUUUUACACACCGUCGGGACUUCCUUUUAUUAUUAGAUUCAUUUGCAUGUCAAUAUGGAUUUUGUAAACUGUAUAAUUCACGAGGAGGCUCCUCUCAGCGACGGGGUCCCGUCAGUGUGACCCUGAGUUGCUUUCUUCGUUCCACCGAUGAACAGAAAAUACGCCGUGAGGGGGUGAAACCCCACAGACAACGCCUGUCAAUCACGGGGUGUCCCGCCUUACGGGUUAUUUUACCCUCUAAAUGGAGCACAAUUCACAAAGUGGACAAAGUUGUGCGUUGAGGACGGCUAGAGAUUGAGGCCGUAAAAGUCACGUGCACAUUGUGUGCAGAGUUGAUGGUCCACGGGAGAACUGGGGCUCAUUUUCUCAUGCACUUCCUUUAAAAACCCAGCGCUCUGGCCCCCAGAAUGUGAGAUCAAGGAGCCCCCCGCGUUGGCUUCACUUUUCACAUCCAAAGACGGCACAGAUGUGAAGUGGGCUGUUUUAGAGUUAACGGGACGUUACAGAUCCGGCAGGAUUAGCUUGAUCCUGGAUGAAACACAGGAGCAACCCGGAAUGAGACGAAGAGUUCACCUUCCCGCCGAGAGCGAAAUGAGAGACCGGUUGGCGAGCGACCUCGUGUGGAGCCACCAACCCGAAAGCCGUCAUCAAACAUCGGCUCUCGUCUCCACCGACAACCAGCAGGUUUCAGGCGGCUCGUCUCCUCGUUCCCACACUGGCUGCAGAGGGAAAGGAGUGCGGGGCCUCCGAAUCAAAAAGCGAAUCAAAAGAAACGAGGGCGGGACCACGCGUGCCGUCAAAGCGUCUGACGGGAAGAGGAGCGCGAUGGAGAGGAAGGUGAGUGGGCAGGUGGAUGCACGCCGGCCUCUUCGAUCUGCCACCGCGAGUCUUAACGGCUGCUUUUCUGCACGGUGCCACGAGGAAUGGCAAAGAUUUCACUCCUCUGCAGCGGGAACAGUACAAAUGAGGAAUAGUUCUUCCUCUGUAGAUUGACGUCUUUGUUGUUGUAUUGAUUUUGCGGGGCUGACAUUUGAGAUGACAGCAAAGAACUUGAAGCUGCGCCGAAGGCCACGACUCCUCCGCUUUAAAUGGAUAUUUCCCAUGUGAAUAGCUCGUCUUUUAUGACCCCGUUUCAACUGCACCACAACAACUCUCUGCAUGUCGCGGGUUAAAAGUGCAUUUUAUCGCGCGCACACACACACACACACGGAGAGGAGAUGCUUUCGUGAUGAGCACAAAGCACCAACACAACGAGAUGCGCGCGGCGGUUUGAAGAGCCAAACCAAGACAGGCGGUCUCCCAGGGGGGGUGGGGGGGGGGUUUGAUUGUACAUUUCUUUUUUGUCGCCAUCACAAGCAAACAAGAAGCGGUUCAGAGAUGGAGUCUAACUCAAAGUACAACAGCACGCCGGCUUUCAUCUUCGUGAUGCGUCUGAUGAGUCAAAAGGUAAAAUGCUUCAUUUCUGAGAGCGUCAAUGCUACAAACAGUCUGAGCUCCAAAAAUCACAUUUUGUUGUGGCUUUGGAUUUGUGCUAAUUGGGGAUGGUGAUAAACUCCAGAAUGAAACUGGGUGUUUGUUCCAAAAAAAAAAAAAAAAGGAAAAGGUUCAACUAUUCUGCUUGCGAGAAUUCGGAUGCGAUACGGAAAACAUACAAAAACACGUUGCAUUUGAAUCCAUAUGUGUGACUAAUGAGCGGAACCGCGCGUGUUCGUGCGCGCGAACUUAGACACACCGAGACGACUCUGAUUAUUCCUGGAUAUGCAGUAAAUUGGAAUAAUUUCCCAUUUGAUGCGCUCUGGCUCAGACCUGUCAGCCCUCCGCCUUCACGCCUCUGCCAGGGAGUCAGAUGACAUCACUCCCGAGCGCACACCCGCCCUCGCGCCCGCGCUCGGGGGUAAAUGCGCCGAGAUUCCUCAGAUGCUCUCGGGUCAAACGCUCUUCACUUAUCCACCGGCUGCCUGAGCCUGAGUGUUUUGAAUUGCUUGUAUGGUAAUUUUGGAGAAACUAUACAUUUAAAAGAGCCCAUUUCUUUGGCCCGUGAGGAGAUACGGGCGGUUCAGGUCAGGAUAUUGAGCCACUGGAACCCAUACAGCCUCACCUGCUUCUCCAUUCGCUGCUCAUUUAGCGGCAGAAAGGCGGGUGGAGAUGAAGGCAGGAGCGAGCCGCUGGAGCGCCAAGCGGUCCGUGUAUCCGAAGCGAGCUCCAUCAUUUGAAAGAAUAUUACUGCUGCAACUUAAACCUGGAGCCGGGCCCGCAGCCCAAAGCAUUCUGCACUCUUAAUCUGUUACUCGCUCUCUUUCUCCCUCCUACCAACGCUUUCUUUCUUUCUUUCUUUCUUUCUUUUCCCUUUUUCCCCUCUUUCCUUUCCGAUCUCACUCACUCUCCCACCUCAUCAUCUAAUCCAGCCGGAGGGAAGAGCCGUGUGUUUGUGUGAAAGAUGAGCCGGUCUUAGCCUCGCUCUAACCCCCUGACCCCGCCCGACACACACACACACACACACACACUCUCAUAUGAAAACACCAGUCCGUUAGCACACAUGCCAACUGUACCCGGGCACCCAAACCAAAACAACACCCCCCUGAUUGACGCACACGUGGCUGGCUGAGGGCGCCGGUGCUGUGAUUAGCAGGGCGGGGUUAUGAUGGGGGGGGGCGAGCGUGCAUUUAUUAUACAUCCAACAAAAGAACCUUUGGAGGAAAUGCUAAUCCAAACACAGAUGAAAUAUUCAUGGCGCAUGGCUGUGUGGUUCACCUCUUUCUGCUCUUUAACCAGAUAAGAUCCGUGCGGGGUUAAAGCAGAAGUAAAUGAGACAGUGAGAGGGUGGGGGGGGGGAGCAGAGGAAAAAGGAGAAGUGAUGUAGUGAAGCAUGAAAUCAUGACUGGCUGGUGUAAUUUAGCUCUUGGAUGGAGCUCACGGGCUUCCUUCGCCUUAGGCCCGCUAUCGAUGCACACUACCAAACGCACACACAGGCGCGCACACACAGCGCAGCACGUCCGUAACAAAACAUGCGUGCUGCAAAUAAUUAAAAGCGCUGUGUUAUCUUCACGCGGCCUUUUUGGAAACGCCGCUCGUGUUCCUCGACGCUUCUCCUCAUGCUCCCUCCGCUGCGCAUCCGUCGUAUAGGAGGCCACAACACCUCCACCCGCCGUCCCUGCGGGUGGAGAGACAACAGAGAGAAGAGGGACGCUUCUCCGGGCUUCUACGGGACUGGAUGGAUGUCUGGUAGGAACAUCAGGAGCUGAUCAGGUGGAAAGCGGAGCAGGGAUUCAGCUUUCAAGGGAAAUGAGUUCCAGCAGAGGGAGACGGCUGGUAAACCUUCAUAUCAGGCCGGGUCAGGAGGUGUGUGUGUGUGUGUGUGUGUGUGUUUGUGUGUGUGUGUGUGUUGUAGGGCUUAUUCAGUGUGUGUAAUGCAACGUUUAACAUUUAAGGAAACUGCAGCUGUGAUCUGAUAUUUUGCUGCCGUAGUGAUGCAGAUAAACAUGACAGCAUAGCGACACACACACACACAAAACGCACACAAGCACAGGCAUCUACAAGAAAUAUCUACUCUCAAAAAAACACACAAAGAACAUCAUCACACACCAGACACACAAUCACGCACACAAAAGAUCAAUAAAAGACCCUAUUAGGCCUCAUCCCAUCAUAUCUGAGCCCACCUCAUCCCUGACCUCACACCAUAAAAGUUUAACACGCCUUGGUGUGCGUGAGCACACGCCGCGGUGUCAUUACAGCCGCUCUAAUAGGGUUGUGCGAGUGUGGUGGCUCCUCUGGGUUUAUUUGCACGGUGUUUCCUCUGCAGAUGGAGGCUUUACAAGCCCAGGAGCCCCGUUAUUGGCCUCCUGUCACCGUCCCAGCGAGCCGCGUUGAAUCUAUAACCAGCUGACAGCUGAGCAGACACUCAAGGACUCUCCAGAAACUAUCGCACAGCGAGAGAAACACUGUUGCCAUCACCCUGGGGGGGGGGGGGGCGGGGGAACCAGGCUUUACAAGCUACUCAACGGACAAUGCUCAUGAUGAUUAUCGCAUGCACGGUGCUUCCCUGCGACACACAAUGAGCACAGAUGCAUUGGUGCUCAGGCCCCGUCCACAUCACGGCGGGUAAUUGCCAAUGCGUAUUUCCUCGCGUGCCUGACUGGCAGUGGAUUGGAUUCUAGCGCCAGUUGCAGAACCAUUAAUAGAAAUUAAGUGCCAGCGAGGGCUACUGGAGGGAGACCAGUGGAGCUGGAAUGGAGUUUAUGUGAAAGAUAAAUACAUUUCUGCAGAAGAGUGCCCCCGUUUAUUGGUUGGGAAAUGCACUGUGAUAUGAUAGAGGGGCACCGAAUGAGUGCAGAAUGGGACGAUACGGCUGAGAGGAAAGAGAAUGCGGCGGAAUUAGAGGCCUGACUUGAAUAGCAAAUGCGGCCCGACAGAGUUGGGUCGCAGCUCGGGUUCCACGUUUUGCGAGUGUUGAGUCGAGAAUCGUCAAACGGGUUCGCUUAAAUGUGCCGGGUGCGCGUUCCGCCAUCCAACGGGGUAUUUCCACCAAAACUCAAUCCGUCGCUCGGGGUCUGCCGUCCAGUUAUUAUUAUCCGUCACCCCUCGAGUGUCGCUCCCUCCUGGCUGGCUGGUGUCAGACAGAUUACAUACUCAUCGCACACACGCGCCCGCGAGAGUGCACGCACACACACACACGCGCACUCUCCCGGGCUGAUACGAAUCCAGCCUCAUCCCGGACUGUCUAAUGGGCCUAAUAACGACGAGUCACUGGGGGCCUCGCGCGUGUCAGGCAGAUUACAGCGGGCACGGCGACUGGAUGGACAGCUCCUUGGCAGCGACACGCACACACUGACACGUGCAGACACACACGCACACACACACAGACACACACACACGCACGCACACGACUCCCGGGGCCUCGGCUCAAGAGGUGCAAUGUGCUCCGUGACCACUAGGAGGCAAAGGUGAGCUUUGGCACGCGGAGCCGGCGAGCGCCUGAAGGACCUGCCGAUGGGCCGAGAUGUGGGAUCUUCAGUCGGACACACGAGCUUUUCCCUUUGUCACGUUGUUCUGCUGAGCAACACGGCCGACCGUGGAUGAGACCUUGUUGUGGGCUCGCCGCUCUUAUUAAACUGCUGGUGUGGAUUCCUGAUUCUCCCUGACACUUUGUUCCUAUAAGGCAUUGAACGGUUACUGAAUGCGCCCAUCGAGCAGCCCGAGGGCCACAGCUGGUCAUUAAAGUGAACAUUUCUUACAGGAAGGACACAAGAUCUGUGUCUCUUCACUUAUCUCCUUGUUAAUCUGCAUCUCAGACAUGCUUUUGAUUGCUUACUGUAAUGCUCGGUAUAGUUCGCUGUGGUUGGCAGUGCAAUACCUGUGAACGUGGAUCAGGUGGCGCAGAAAGCUUUAGAUAUGAGUCACGCAGCCACUCGUCUCCAGCGUUCACCAGCAGUUUUUCUACCCCAGCACCAUGUGGGAAGUCUGGUUCACCUUCAGAUUGUUGAUGAAAGAGACACACAGAGACAAAAAGAUACGUCAACCAGACAAAAAUAGAAAACUACAACAACGCGCACGGCGAAUGGCUCAAAGGCGAAAAACCACCACUAGAAAAACACACUUCACCAAGACAGCAAUUGUCCCACAGUGACGACAGAAAAGAGACACGGAGCGACUACAUGGAGACAAAAGUACCAAAGAGCCACACGGUUAAAAUCCCUUCACAAGAUAUACAACACAAAGAGUCGACAUUGAGACAAAAAACUGACCCAAAGAAUAAGAAUAAACCCAAAAUGACCAUGAAGAGAGACGAUCUACAAAGACCCCUAAAACAACUACAAAAUGACGGGGUUCUGCCUCGGUGUCUGAGGGGGGGGUGACGUGCUGCUCGGGGAUCUCUUGUCUCAAAAUCCGUCAUUUGCUACAAAAAGCCAAAGAAAAUUCCAUUAAACACAAAUGAGCCCAAUGUCAAACUUAAAAGCGGCAGCUCAGUUGAUCAAACGCAGGGUGCGAGCCACAGGGGGCCACAGGGGGCCACGGGGGGCCACGGGGGGCCACGGGGGCCUGGAGCCCGGCUCCUGGAGCCACGAGCUCCGAGGCGGAUCCCGUGUCAGGAGGGAAGGCCGGGGAGACGUCCGCGUGCCGGCUUGGGGACGUGGACGGGGGG